rnacentral:rRNA from 1 species
UGAGGAAUAUUGGUCAAUGGACGGAAGUCUGAACCAGCCAAGUAGCGUGCAGGAUGACGGCCCUAUGGGUUGUAAACUGCUUUUGUAUGGGGAUAAAGUCAAUCACGUGUGAUUGUUUGCAGGUACCAUACGAAUAAGGACCGGCUAAUUCCGUGCCAGCAGCCGCGGUAAUACGGAAGGUUCGGGCGUUAUCCGGAUUUAUUGGGUUUAAAGGGAGCGUAGGCCGGAGAUUAAGUGUGUUGUGAAAUGUAGACGCUCAACGUCUGACUUGCAGCGCAUACUGGUUUCCUUGAGUACGCACAACGUUGGCGGAAUUCGUCGUGUAGCGGUGAAAUGCUUAGAUAUGACGAAGAACUCCGAUUGCGAAGGCAGCUGACGGGAGCGCAACCGACGCUGAAGCUCGAAGGUGCGGGUAUCGAACAGGAUUAGAUACCCUGGUAGUCCGCACAGUAAACGAUGGAUGCCCGCUGUUGGUACCUGGUAUCAGCGGCUAAGCGAAAGCAUUAAGCAUCCCACCUGGGGAGUACGCCGGCAACGGUG